rnacentral:lncRNA from 1 species
ACCAAUGAUACGCUCGUGUCUCAGGCUGUGUAACUCUUUGACUUGAGUCACACGGUCAAGUCACAUGCCCGUAUGCUACACCAUGUGUAGGUACAAGGGUCACACGGCUAAGCAACACGCCUGUGUGCCAGGCCGUGUGAUUAAUUCUGAACAUUCUGUUUUGACAUUUUAAAGAUGCAGGGGACACACAGCCAGAUCACACGCCCAUGUGCUAGGUCGUGUGUCACACACGACUGAGACACAUGCCCGUGUCUCUG